GAUGAACGCUGGCGGCGUGCUUAACACAUGCAAGUCGAACGAAGCAUUUGCGACAGAUUUUUUCGGAAUGAAGUUGCUUAUGACUGAGUGGCGGACGGGUGAGUAACGCGUGGGUAACCUGCCUUGUACUGGGGGAUAGCAGCUGGAAACGGCUGGUAAUACCGCAUAAGCGCACAAUGUUGCAUGACAUGGUGUGAAAAACUCCGGUGGUAUAAGAUGGACCCGCGUCUGAUUAGCUAGUCGGUGAGAUAACAGCCCACCAAGGCGACGAUCAGUAGCCGACCUGAGAGGGUGACCGGCCACAUUGGGACUGAGACACGGCCCAGACUCCUACGGGAGGCAGCAGUGGGGAAUAUUGCACAAUGGAGGAAACUCUGAUGCAGCGACGCCGCGUGAGUGAAGAAGUAAUUCGUUAUGUAAAGCUCUAUCAGCAGGGAAGAUAGUGACGGUACCUGACUAAGAAGCUCCGGCUAAAUACGUG
rnacentral:rRNA from 1 species